ensembl:lncRNA
CAUUUUCAGACCAGGAACUCGGUGAGCGGGGCUGUGCAGGGGAGGGCAGAGCAGAGAAGCAGGGCAGGAGGCUGCUCCUUUCGUCCUUCCUCUCUGCACUGCAGAUGGGUGUCUACUCCAAGAUGGAACCAGAGCUGGACAUGCGCCUGUCCUCAGCUCUCUAACCGGUCUCCAUGCCAUACCAGACAGAUAAGUCAGCCAGAAACGGUAUCCUUCGUAGGCCCGAAGGGCCCCUAACUGCUCCCCAAGACACCCCUGCCCUCACCCCAACAGUUGAUAUUAGUUAGCUGAGCAGGGGACCCACUCUAGGUGCUGGCACCUGGCCUGCUGAUUGCCGUGCCGCUUUGCACCCAGGCUUGGGGAAACAGGCAGCCCCACACAGCCACGGGCAUGGCUGGCAGACCAGCAACCUGGUGAGCAGGGCUGUGCACGGGAGGGCAGCAUGGGGAAGCAGAGCAGGAGGCUGUUCCUCUUGUGUCUCCCAUCUGCCUUGCAGAUGGACAGCCCAACACCAACGAAAAAGAUGACCACCAGGGCCUGAGCUCCAUUUGACAAACUGGUGUUCAUGUCCUACAGAAAAGAUAAGUCACGCCCAAUUUGUACCCUGUCUUGCACCUGCAGGCCUAUGGAAGCUCCAUAGCAUCCCCCGGCUGUUACCCUAAAACUUUAACUCUGCUUUGCUGAAUCCCGACCCCACUGCAGGUGCCGGCACCACAGCGCAUGACUACAGUGGCCGUGUCAAUGCGGCGCUGCUGACACAGUGAGCACAAAAUGGCCAAGGAAACCAUUUUCAGACCAGGAACCCGGUGAGCGGGGCUGUGCAGGGGAGGGCAGAGCAGAGAAGCAGGUCAGGAGGCUGCUCCUUUCAUCCUUCUCCUCUGCCUUGCAGAUGGGAGUCCACACCAAGAUGGAACCAGAGCUGGACACACGCCUGUCCUCAGCUCUCUAACCGGUCUCAGUGCCAUACAAGACAGAUAAGUCUGCCACAAUUGGUAUCCUUCCUGCGCCUGAAGGGCCCCUGUCUGCUCCCCAAGACACCCCUGCCCUCACCCCAACUGUUGAUACGACUUAGAUGAGCACGGGCCCCACUCUAGGUGCUGGCACCUGGCCUGCUGACUGCUGUGCCGCUUUCCACCCAGGCUUGGGGAAACAGGCAGCCCCACACAGCCACGGGCAUGGCUGGCAGACCAGCAAUCUGGUGAGCAGGGCUGUGCACGGGAGGGCAGCAUGGGGAAGCAGAGCAGGAGGCUUCUCCUCUCGUGCCUCCCAUCUGCCUUGCAGAUGGACAGCCCAACACCAACGAAAAAGAUGACCACCAGGGCCUGAGCUCCAUUUGACAAACCGGUGUUCACGUCCUACAAUAAAGUUAAGUCACACCCCAACUAUAGCCUGUCCUGCACCUACAGACCUAUGGAAACUCCCCAGCAUCCCCCUGCUCUUAACCCAAACCUUUAACUCUGCUUUUUCUGACUCCCAACCCCACUGCAGGUGUUGGCACCACACCGCAUGACUGCGUUGGCCUUGUCAAUGCGGCGCUGCUGACAUAGUGAGCCCAAAUUUGCCAAGGCAACCCCUGUCAGAACAGCAACCCGGUGAGCGGGGCUGUGCAGGGGAUGGCAGAGCAGGGAAGCAGGGCAGGAGGCUGCUCCUUUCAUCCUUCUUCUCUGCCUUGCAGAUUGACAGCCCAACACCAAUGGAAACAGAUGUCCACCAGGUCCUGAGCUCCAUUUGACAAACUGGACAGACGGACUUCUGGACACACACUGUACUAGACCAGUGCAUCCUCUACCAAUCACCGUGUCUACACAUGGACAAUGCUCCGACUGAAGAACAGUGAAUGCACACACCCUGCUCUGCAGCAUAUCGUGUUCCUACAGGUGUCUCGCUCCAAUUUAUAGGAGGGAGAGGAGGUUCUUUGAAAUAUGUAUGCCCGGCGUGAGAUUAAGAAACAACGGUUCAAAUGUUGGUCCGACCAGUUUAUUACAAAUGUUAAUGAGGGAGAUGGGGAAAGGGGAGGACGGACGCUAUUAAGGAUUGGGGUGAUGGGGAAGGGAAGGCGAGCGAUAGAAAAGAUAGAAAGAGGCAAGAAUUGCGUAAAGCGGGGAUAGUCACCACCAGGAUCCGGCAGCAGUCCCGUUGCACGAUGUUCCGACAGUCCGAGGCCGAAGGGCAGGAGCAGCGGGGCCGGUCUUGGGCAAUGAGAGGAUGCAGGUCGGGGAGGAAGCAGCAGGUCUCAGGUAGCAGGCCCAUGGAAGUCCGUCAACAAACGGUCCGUAGAGAAGGAUCGGAAGGCAGGAAGCUCGUGUCGUGGUGAGAGAUCAGUCUCCACGUAGAGAUCCGUCUCCACGUUGCGGUGAAGGAUCAGAUGGCAGAGAGCCCCUCAAGUCUGUCGUAAUGAGUGAUAAGCCUCUGCCGUUGCCGUGGUUGUGGUGAAGGAUCAGCUUCUACCGUUGUGGUUAUUGGACCCUCUUUUAUUCUCCAUUUUCUGCUGCCUACGUGACAUUCCUGGGUGCUUGAGCAAGAGUCCUGUGCAUACCUCCUGAGAUGGCCAUUUUCCUUGAGAUAAGUCCACACAAAAAGACUGCUUCCCGGCCAUUAGCAGCAGCUUAUCUCUCUCUCGAUGCCCCUGGCCUUGUCCAUCUGUGCUCCUUAGAGGAUUUCACAAUCCUUAGCCAGGACCUGUCCAUCAGUGUCCUCAAAACAAAAGAUUUCUCUGCCUUUGCCCAGGACUUGCCUGGACUUGUUCCUCAGCAAACUUUGAGUCAAUUAUAUAAAAGAAUAGUCUCUUACAACAGGCAGUCUGAGGAUCCACACAGCCUGGACAGAGGUGGUUCCCCGGCACCCCCCAUGUACACACCCCUCCAAGGAUCUACACACAGUUGGAUGUUUUCCACAGACAUUGGCAGCUCCACAGCACUCACGUUUUGAUGGAGUCAGGACCUUCUAUAUGGCACACAUCAGCACCUCGAGGAACCACAGAGAUUGUGUAAAACAGAACUCUGAAAAUGCGGAUGGAACAUGAAGCUGUAUGCUUAUGGAUAGGCCCAAUUCAGAAAUACCAGAGAUGCCAUAUCCAGAAAGGGAAGGAAGCACUGUAACUAAGUGUGUUCCUACGACCGGGGCUAGAAGGUUAGGUGCAGUGAAAACUGUCAGCCUUCCUGCCUCUACCCCCAGGUGAGAAGCUAUCAAAGAAUUAAACAAAAAUUUAAAAC